rnacentral:rRNA from 1 species
GACAGAGGCCUCGAGCGUUAGGCGGAAUCACUGGGCAUAAAGCGUGUGUAGGCGGGCCCGUAAGUGUCUUGUGAAAUCCCACGGCUCAACCGUGGAACUGCUGGGCAUACUGCGGGUCUUGGGCCAACUAGGGGCAGCCGGAACAAGCGGUGGAGCGGUGAAAUGCGUAGAUAUCGCUUGGAACGCCGAAGGUGAAAACAGGCUGCUGGGGUUGCGCCGACGCUGAGACACGAAAGCCAGGGGAGCAAACGGG